rnacentral:rRNA from 1 species
GAGUUUGAUCAUGGCUCAGAGUGAACGCUGGCGGCGUGCCUAAUACAUGCAAGUCGAACGGAGAUUAAAGUAAGCUUGCUUACUUUAAUCUUAGUGGCGCACGGGUGAGUAAUGUAUAGCUAAUCUGCCCUACACUAGAGGACAACAGUUGGAAACGACUGCUAAUACUCUAUACUCCUUCUUGACAUAAGUUAAGUAGGGAAAGUUUUUCGGUGUAGGAUGAGGCUAUAUCGUAUCAGCUAGUUGGUGAGGUAAUGGCUCACCAAGGCUAUGACGCGUAACUGGUCUGAGAGGAUGAUCAGUCACACUGGAACUGAGACACGGUCCAGACUCCUACGGGAGGCAGCAGUAGGGAAUAUUGCUCAAUGGGGGAAACCCUGAAGCAGCAACGCCGCGUGGAGGAUGACACUUUUCGGAGCGUAAACUCCUUUUCUUGGGAAAGAAUUAUGACG